AUUGAACGCUGGCGGCAGGCCUAACACAUGCAAGUCGAACGGUAACAGGGAGAAGCUUGCUUCUUUGCUGACGAGUGGCGGACGGGUGAGUAAUGUCUGGGAAACUGCCUGAUGGAGGGGGAUAACUACUGGAAACGGUAGCUAAUACCGCAUAACGUCGCAAGACCAAAGAGGGGGACCUUCGGGCCUCUUGCCAUCGGAUGUUCCCAGAUGGGAUUAGCUAGUAGGUGGGGUAACGGCUCACCUAGGCGACGAUCCCUAGCUGGUCUGAGAGGAUGACCAGCCACACUGGAACUGAGACACGGUCCAGACUCCUACGGGAGGCAGCAGUGGGGAAUAUUGCACAAUGGGCGCAAGCCUGAUGCAGCCAUGCCGCGUGUAUGAAGAAGGCCUUCGGGUUGUAAAGUACUUUCAGCGGGGAGGAAGGGAGUAAAGUUAAUACCUGUGCUCAUUGACGUUACCCGCAGAAGAAGCACCGGCUAACUCCGUG
rnacentral:rRNA from 1 species